rnacentral:lncRNA from 1 species
AUGUUAAAAACCUCCCAUUUGUCUUCUGCAGUGCUUUCGGUUCUCCUUGUGCUGCACCAACUACAUGCAACCAAGCAGAAGUGACAGUAAAUCAUUCCCUACUGCUAUUAAAAGUCUGGCUUUUAGAUUUUCGAGUGUAUUUCCCUGGCCAUCGAGACAGGGAGGCUGAGAGCUUGGUGUGGCUUUGUCUGGUCCUCUCUCUGGCUUCUUUCAGUACUGCUUUUUUUUUUUUUUUUUUUUUUUUUUUGUUCUUCCUUGAUUGCAACAGUUGGAGUCUCCUGCACCGAGCUGACCUCAUCACCAUGCAUUUUCCCACCCAAAUCUCAACAAUAUUGCAGGUUUCUCUGAGGUUUAAGCAGAAUUUAGAAGAAUUGUGGCUGUUUUCUUGACACCUACUGGCAUCUAUGAUGGCAGCCCACAACACGAGGCGUCUGCUAAAUGAAGCAACGACUUCUUGAGUGAUUUGAGAACGUGACGAAACCAGCACUUACCCGUGUUCCCAGGACUGACAGAUUUUUCGAGGGCGGUUUGUUUUGAUAAGGCAGAGCUUAGCGCAUGUCCUAGCAAGUCGCUUUAUGAUGGGCCUCAAAUAACAGGUUUUAUUGUCUGGGGAUAAGCAGCUCGCUAUUAAUUGCAAAAGGAGUUCCUCCCAUGUUCCUGCUUCCGUGAGGAUUACUGGAAGUCCAGCUUCCACCUGAAACUUGAGGCUUGGAGAGGGACAGCCGAGGGAAAGACAACCCCAUUGAAUCAGCCAGGAUAGGAUGGGGAAAAAAAGGGUCCAUUACUUGGGCCCUGGUGUCAGUGGGUUUCUUCCUUCUCGUUACAGUGACCUCUUUGUCCUGGGGUGUUGAGUAAGAAGUCAGAGGAAUGGUGCAAAGCAGAGAACUUCGCUUAAAAAAUGAAAUUUUAAAUUGCUUCAUUCUCUCAUGCAACUGCUUGGCUUGGCUUUGCUCCCCGCAUUGCAGCUCUGGGUAUUUAUGGUGGAGGAACCACCAUGAGGCCAUAGGAAGGAAAUGAGGGACCCAAAGGGAAUUUGGAUAAAUUAGAAGGGAGAAGAAUUAUUUUAACCAGCCAGGCUGCAGGAGGGGAUGAGCAGAGGCCCCUAGGGCUGUGAUGCUGCAGCUGCUUGUGCUGUGGGUUUGUGGGACAUAUGGGAAAAGCUCUUUAUUUGUGCCCAGGGAGCAUAUUCUAA